rnacentral:rRNA from 1 species
UGGGGAAUUUUGCACAAUGGGGGAAACCCUGAUGCAGCGACGCCGCGUGAUUUAGAAGGCCUUCGGGUUGUAAAAAUCUUUUCUAUGGGAAGAAAAUGACAGUACCAUAGGAAUAAGGACCGGCUAAUUACGUGCCAGCAGCCGCGGUAAUACGUAAGGUCCGAGCGUUGUCCGGAAUCAUUGGGCGUAAAGGGUACGUAGGCGGUCUAUUAAGUCAGGUGUGAAAGCGUGAGGCUUAACCUCAUUAAGCACUUGAAACUGAUAGACUUGAGUGAAGGAGAGGAAAGUGGAAUUCCUAGUGUAGCGGUGAAAUGCGUAGAUAUUAGGAGGAAUACCGGUGGCGAAGGCGACUUUCUGGACUUUUACUGACGCUCAGGUACGAAAGCGUGGGGAGCAAACAGG